rnacentral:lncRNA from 1 species
UUUGCAUUAUCGAAUAUCAUCCAUAACCUUUUUUACCAUUGCUUAUUAAAUAAUUACAAAAAAUAAUAACAAUGAAGAGUAGUCACAAUUUUCCAACAGGCUUCAAAGUUCACGUGCAAUUGAAUGGCAAGAAAGGAGAAGUAGUCACAAUUUUCCAACAGGCUUCAAAGUUCACGUGCAAUUGAAUGGCAAGAAAGGAGAAAUGCAAUGCUUGAAAGGCAGCUAACCGAAGCUGCAAAUGCAUGAGCAACAAGCUGCUAUGAACGCAAGCCAAGGCAAGCGAAAUACAUCAAAUCCAAAGCUUCAAAACACGCUGAUGCAAGCCAUCCUCCAAGCCGUCAAAGAGCACAAAAGCUACAUCAGUUGCGGCUGCUUCCAAACGGCAAUAGAGAAACAAAACUCACAACACUUGAAACGCACGCCAAGCUAUAGCGAAUGCAAAACGCAACAUCAAACUUCAAAAGCCAAGCCAGCAUGAACACCAUUCCUGCAUAAUUUCACAGAUAAACUCACAA